GAGGGUAUAGCUCAAGUGGUAGAGCAAGUACUUAGCAUGCACAAGGUCCUGGGUUCAAUCCCCAGUGCCUCCA
rnacentral:tRNA from 1 species